rnacentral:tRNA from 1 species
GCCGAGGUGGUGAAAUUGGCAGACACGCAGCGUUCAGGUCGCUGUGCUCGAAAGGGCUUGCGGGUUCAAAUCCCGCCCUCGGCA